CUCCUGGAAACGGGUGGUAAUGCCGGAUGCUCCAGUCCAUCGCAUGGUGGUCUGGGAAAGAUUUCAUCGGUAUGGGAUGGGGUCGCGUCCUAUCAGGUAGUCGGCGGGGUAACGGCCCACCGAGCCUACGACGGGUAGCCGGCCUGAGAGGGCGACCGGCCACAUUGGGACUGAGAUACGGCCCAGACUCCUACGGGAGGCAACAGUGGGGAAUAUUGCACAAUGGGCGCAAGCCUGAUGCAGCGACGCCGCGUGCGGGAUGACGGCCUUCGGGUUGUAAACCGCUUUUGAUCGGGAGCAAGCCUUCGGGUGAGUGUACCUUUCGAAUAAGCACCGGCUAACUACGUGCCAGCAGCCGCGGUAAUACGUAGGGUGCAAGCGUUAUCCGGAAUUAUUGGGCGUAAGGGGCUCGUAGGCGGUUCGUCGCGUCCGGUGUGAAAGUCCAUCGCUUAACGGUGGAUCCGCGCCGGGUACGGGCGGGCUUGAGUGCGGUAGGGGAGACUGGAAUUCCCGGUGUAACGGUGGAAUGUGUAGAUAUCGGGAAGAACAC
rnacentral:rRNA from 1 species